GACAGAGGUGCCGAGCGUUAGGCGGAAUCACUGGGCUUAAAGCGUGUGUAGGCGGACUUCUAAGUACCUUGUGAAAUCCCACGGCUUAACCGUGGAACUGCUUGGUAUACUGGUUGUCUUGGGUCAUCUAGGGGCUACUGGAACAAACGGUGGAGCGGUGAAAUGCGUAGAGAUGUGGAGGAAUACCGAUGGCGAAGGCAGCCCCCUGGGAUGACACUGACGCUCAUGCACGAAAGCGUGGGGAGCAAACAGG
rnacentral:rRNA from 1 species